rnacentral:rRNA from 1 species
AGAGUUUGAUCAUGGCUCAGAGCGAACGCUGGCGGCAGGCCUAACACAUGCAAGUCGAACGAACUCUUCGGAGUUAGUGGCGGACGGGUGAGUAACACGUGGGAACGUGCCUUUAGGUUCGGAAUAGCUCCUGGAAACGGGUGGUAAUGCCGAAUGUGCCCUUCGGGGGAAAGAUUUAUCGCCUUUAGAGCGGCCCGCGUCUGAUUAGCUAGUUGGUGGGGUAAUGGCCCACCAAGGCUACGAUCAGUAGCUGGUCUGAGAGGAUGACCAGCCACAUUGGGACUGAGACACGGCCCAAACUCCUACGGGAGGCAGCAGUGGGGAAUCUUGCGCAAUGGGCGAAAGCCUGACGCAGCCAUGCCGCGUGUAUGAUGAAGGUCUUAGGAUUGUAAAAUACUUUCACCGGUGAAGAUAAUGACUGUAGCCGGAGAAGAAGCCCCGGCUAACUUCGUGCCAGCAGCCGCGGUAAUACGAAGGGGGCUAGCGUUGCUCGGAAUUACUGGGCGUAAAGGGAGCGUAGGCGGACAUUUAAGUCAGAGGUGAAAUCCCGGAGCUUAACUUCGGAACUGCCUUUGAUACUGGGUGUCUUGAGUGUGAGAGAGGUAUGUGGAACUCCGAGUGUAGAGGUGAAAUUCGUAGAUAUUCGGAAGAACACCAGUGGCGAAGGCGACAUACUGGCUCAUUACUGACGCUGAGGCUCGAAAGCGUGGGGAGCAAACAGGAUUAGAUACCCUGGUAGUCCAA